GCAAGUCGAGCGGAAACGACACUAACAAUCCUUCGGGUGCGUUAAUGGGCGUCGAGCGGCGGACGGGUGAGUAAUGCCUAGGAAAUUGCCUUGAUGUGGGGGAUAACCAUUGGAAACGAUGGCUAAUACCGCAUAAUGCCUACGGGCCAAAGAGGGGGACCUUUGGGCCUCUCGCGUCAAGAUAUGCCUAGGUGGGAUUAGCUAGUUGGUGAGGUAAUGGCUCACCAAGGCGACGAUCAAUAGCCGACCUGAGAGGGUGAUC
rnacentral:rRNA from 1 species